UGUGUACUCCCUCCAUUCCGAAAUUACUUGUCGCAGAAAUGGAUGUAUCUAGAUGUAUUUUAAUUCUAGAUACAUUCAUUUCUGUGAUGAGUAAUUUAGAACGGAGGGAGUAGUUA
rnacentral:pre_miRNA from 1 species